GCAGCUCCGAGAAGGCUCCGCUGGCUCUUGGGAAACCCCGCUGUGCGGCUCAACCCGUCGGUCUCUCUCAAGUUCUCGUCUUCCUCCCCUGGUCCUCCCUUCUCCAGCUCCCCUGCCCUGCCCGAGUCUCGGGCCGCGCCGGCUGAGCCCCACGCGCCCGGAGAAGAGCGCCGGAGCCCCCUGCUGGCCGGACGCGGCAGGCGCGGCGGCCCGCUCGGUCCCCUCCGCCCCGCGGGCGCUGCCCAUCCCGGACCCGCCUCCACCCUCCAGCGCCCUGGCGCUGGGGGCGUGCUAAAAGCAACAGAAAACAAAACAAAAACAAACAAAGCGCCAAAACCCACUCUCACCUCGUCUACUGGUCAAAGAGGAGAAAACAGGGACUUCCUGGUAGAGGUAGUUCUAAUUUAGAAUCCAGAAUAAGAGCAGCCAGGUAAAGAGCUCUUUAGGUUUCUUCCUCUGUGAUACAACCGUAGUCAACAAAUGAAUUGGAAGCAAGCACUCAUUUUGCCCCCAGUGCAAGGAAGUGCCACUUCCUUCAUAGCGAACUCAUCAGAAGCUGAAUAAUGGUAAAUGGAGCAAAGAAAAUGAUGAAUUUUCUUCAAGUAAUGAUUAAAAAUAUACUUAAAUCAAUGAUUAGUCACCAUGUUUUGCAUGUACCUACUAACAUUAAAUUAUAUUUGAAAAAUAUAUGCCCAUUAUACCUUUCUUCUUGAUUGCAUGCAUUCAUUCAUAUUUACUGUAAAAUAUUGCACUAACAUACAUUAAAUGAACUGUGAUUAUUACUUUUAAGGAGUGUUCAUUUUUCUAUUACUGUACAGGUAUCUUUUACUUGUGUUCUAGUAAUUUAAUUUAGAUUGUUGUUUCCUUUCUCUUUCCCAAUUCCAUUCUUAAGCCUGCCGCUAUGGUGCUGUGAUUUCAUCCACACCACCUCAAAAAUAGCAGAUCCCUUAAGCUUUUUAUUUAUUAAGGGAGUGCAAUUAGUGUAAUAUGCAUGAAUUACAAAAGGCUUUGCACCGAACUGAAAGUUUUAUGGAAGAACUUAUAAAAAAUUAUUGCAAUUGUUAUGUUGGAGAGUCAAUCAGUUUCCACAAGGGAUAAUCUCAGGCCCUAUAUUACUCAGUAUUUUAAUCUCUGGUUACAACAAUAGAGUUUACAAGGCAUUAGUUAAGUGACAGUGAACAGCAAGUGGAGUUUAAAUCUGGUCAUUUCUGCUAUCUAGAAUUUGUGGGCGUGAUUACAAAUAUGGAUAUGAAAAUUCUGUUUUUCCAUAAGUUGUCUUUUCUUUUGGAUAAAUAGGUAGGAAUGGAAUUACUGGGUCUAAGUGUAUGCUUAAAUGUAUAAGACACUACAAAACUUUUUCUAAAAUUUCUGUAUUGUUUUUCAUUAUGAUCAGUAAUGUGUGAGAGUUCCCAUUGCUCUGUCUCCUCAGCAGUACUUGGUGUUGUCAGCUUUUAAGUUUAGCUAAUGAGUCUAUUGUGACACCUCACUUUGGAUUUAAUUCGCAUUUUCAUAUGACGAAUGAUGUUGAGCAUCUUUUCAUGCCAUCAAUAUCUCUUUUUUGAAGUGUCUGUUCAAUUCUUUUGCCAACAUUUUUAAAUUGGGUAGUUUGUUAUCCUAGUCUCACUUCAUGAGAGUUUUUUAUAUAUUAUGGCUACAAGUUCUUUUUCAAACACGUCUUUGCAAAUAUUUUCUCCUAAUCUGUGCUUUGCCUUUUCAUUUUCUUAAUAGUGUCUUUUGAAGAGCAGUUGUAGUUUUUAUGGUUCCAAUUUACCAGUUUUUUAAUGAAUUGUGAUUUUUCUGUCUUCUCUAAAAUAUUUUGCUAAUUUAAGAUCACAAAGAUUCUCCUGUGUUUUCUCUUAAAAGUUUUGGGUUUUACAUCAAGGUUUAUGGUUCAUUUUGAGUUUAUUUAUAAAUAUGAUGACAUGAGUAUUUAAAUACUUUUUAAAAAUGUACGUCCAAUUGUUCUGGCAUCAUUUUUGGAAAGGUCAUUCUUUAUACACUGAAUUGCCCUGGCAACUUUAGUAAAUAAUCAAUCUGUCGUAUAUGUUUGGGUCUAUUUCUGGACUCCAUUUUGUUCAAUUGUUCUAUAUAUCAAUGCUUUACAGUAAAUCUGGAAAUUGAGUAAUGAAGGUUCUUCAUUUUUAUUCCUUUAUUUUUUCUUAAAUUGCCUCCAUUAUUCUAGGUUCUUUGCUCUUUGCACCUAAAUUUUAGAAUCAGCUUACUGAUUUUUACAAAAUAAAAACCCUGUACCAAACCAAAACAACAAAAAAAGGCCUGUUUGAGAUUUUGAUUUGGAUUGCACUAAAUCUAUAGACCAAAUCAGAGAGAAUUGAAAUCUUAAGAGUACUGUUUUCUGACUCAUGAACAUGUUAUUCUCUUCAUUUAUUUAGGGCUUUGAUUUAUUUAAAUCAGUAUUUUAUAGUUUUCAGUAUAACAAAUUUUGUAUUUCUUUUGUCAGAUAUAUCCCCAGAUUAUCCCAUUAAAUACCUAAGUUGUUAAUGUUUUCAAUGCUAUUAUAUUUAUAUUUAUUGCAUUAAUUUAUAUAUAAGCAUACUAUUAUAUUUUUCACAUAUUUAAUCUUAUCUGGUGACAUUUAGGAAUGAUUUGUCUUUUUUAAGAACUUAC
ensembl:lncRNA